rnacentral:RNase_P_RNA from 1 species
AGGGAAGAACAGAUGUUCGCUGCGCUUCUUGCGCAGAGGAAAGUCCGGACACCACAGGGCAGGAUACUUCCUAACGGGAAGCUGCAGCAAUGCAGAGCCAGCGCCACAGAAACAAACCGCCUUUCGCCUUUAUGGUGAAGGGCAAGGGUGAAAUGGUAGUGUAAGAGACUACCGGUAUCCUUGGUGACAGGGAUAGCCAGGUAAGCCUUAUCCGGUGCAAUGCCAAAUAGGAAAGCUAUGAUGCUGCCCGCAUCGCUUUCGGGUAGGCAGCUUGAGCUUGCUCGCGAGGGUAAGCCCAGAUGGAUGGACAUCACUUCCGGGAAACCGGGAGCACAGAAUCCGGCUUACGAUCUUCCCUGUUU